rnacentral:lncRNA from 1 species
ACACUUGACUGAUAAGGGAAGAAGGCCUCGAGUGAGCAUGCAUACAACUUCAGAAAACACUGAUCGUGCGGCUCCUCCCAAGUGCUGGCAGGCCACUGUGCAUGUGGACAGCCCACCCCAAGGGAAGAAUCAGGGGAGAAAGGUGCACUCCACCCGCCUGGGAAGCAUGCUGAUGUAUAAAACCCCAAGGUUUUUCCUCCAAUGGAAGUAGGUCAGCCCUACCUGCAGAGUGGAGAAACCUAACUGGACCACAGACAAGAACAGUGACCUGGCCUUACCUGCUGCUGCCCCAGAUUCUAGAUGGAACCUGCAUGGAGGGGACAGCACGAGCUACUGAGCAGCUGGACAUAACACCCCCCAGAUCCUAACAGGGACUUUUGGGAGGAACAGGGGCAAAUUUUAAUUCUUAUUUUCAAUAUUUUGCAAAUUGUCUAUAAUGAGGAUCUUCACUUUCAAAAUCAG